rnacentral:rRNA from 1 species
CAGCCGCCGCGGUAAGACAGAGGAUGCAAGCGUUAUCCGGAAUGAUUGGGCGUAAAGCGUCUGUAGGUGGCUUUUCAAGUCCGCCGUCAAAUCCCAGGGCUCAACCCUGGACAGGCGGUGGAAACUACCAAGCUGGAGUACGGUAGGGGCAGAGGGAAUUUCCGGUGUAGCGGUGAAAUGCGUAGAGAUCUGGAGGAAUACCGGUGGCGAAGGCGGCCCCCUGGACAAAGACUGACGCUCAGGUGCGAAAGCGUGGGGAGCAAACAGGAUUAGAUACCCCUGUAGUCCCUGUCUCUUAUAA